UACGUAGGGUGCGAGCGUUGUCCGGAAUUAUUGGGCGUAAAGGGCUCGUAGGCGGUUUGUCGCGUCGGGAGUGAAAACCUUGGGCUUAACUCGGGGCUUGCUUUCGAUACGGGCAGACUAGAGGUAUGCAGGGGAGAACGGAAUUCCUGGUGUAGCGGUGAAAUGCGCAGAUAUCAGGAGGAACACCGGUGGCGAAGGCGGAUCUCUGGGCCGUAACUGACGCUGAGGAGCGAAAGCAUGGGGAGCGAACAGG
rnacentral:rRNA from 1 species